rnacentral:lncRNA from 1 species
GCAUUCUGGAUGUGGUAGAAACCAUCACAAAAGAGGAUUAUUGGGAGGAGUCAAUGGGGGGGUGGUGGUGGUGUUCAGGUUAUGUUUCAGGAGGAGGGUCUUCCAUGGAGGGAAUUGUUAGUUCAUUUGCCUUCAUGGUAGGCAAUGCAGUUUGCAGUUUGGAGGGUGGCCUCUCUGCUGGCCUCUGAAGUGUGUGCUUGGAUGGGUUCAGAGACCAGCUAUGUGGCCACAGGUUGUCUAACAUCAUCCUUGGGAUGCGUGGUUGGUUUAGUGGUUUCCUUGAUGGCUCCAAGGAAGAAGGAGUAAGCAGUUCGAUAAUUCCACCAUAGGGCCUCAAUGCAGUGCUGGCUCUAUGAGAUUGUGCCCAUGGCCCUGGUCACCUCAUACCUCCUCCUGACCCCGAUCAAGUCAGAAACAAGGACCAGUGAGGCUGGGGGUAUGGAGAAAGCAACCCAAAAUAUCUAAGCUUCUCACGUAGAUUUCUCUGACUUAAACUUUGAUAUUCAAGGCAGUUUAGAGUUUGGGUUAUUACUCUGGACAAGACACUUGAUGUUGAAUGGAAGCUUUCUGGUGAUUAAAAAGAACUUUAAAAAUUAUCUAAGAGUGAACUAUAGAGACACUAUGGAAUC